rnacentral:rRNA from 1 species
AGGAGGAAUCGCUAGUAAUCGCAGGUCAGCAUACUGCGGUGAAUACGUUCCCGGGCCUUGUACACACCGCCCGUCACACCAUGGAAGUUGGCCACGCCCGAAGUCGUUACUCCAACCCUCUGGGAGGAGGACGCCGAAGGUGGGGCUGAUGACUGGGGUGAAGUCGUAACAAGGUAGCCGUACCGGAAGGUGCGGCUGGAUCACCUCCUAA